rnacentral:rRNA from 1 species
UGGGGGAUAUUGCACAAUGGGGGAAACCCUGAUGCAGCGACGCCGCGUGAACGAAGAAGGUAUUCGUAUCGUAAAGUUCUGUCCUAUGGGAAGAUAAUGACAGUACCAUAGAAGAAAGCUCCGGCUAAAUACGUGCCAGCAGCCGCGGUAAUACGUAUGGAGCGAGCGUUGUCCGGAAUUAUUGGGCGUAAAGGGUACGCAGGCGGUUUAAUAAGUCGAAUGUUAAAGAUCGGGGCUCAACCCCGCAAAGCAUUGGAAACUGAUAAACUUGAGUAGUGGAGAGGAAAGUGGAAUUCCUAGUGUAGUGGUGAAAUACGUAGAUAUUAGGAGGAAUACCAGUAGCGAAGGCGACUUUCUGGACACAAACUGACGCUGAGGUACGAAAGCGUGGGGAGCAAACAGG